rnacentral:rRNA from 1 species
UACGUAGGGACCAAGCGUUGUUCGGAUUUACUGGGCGUAAAGGGCGCGUAGGCGGCAAUUCAAGUCAGCUGUGAAAUCUCCGGGCUUAACUCGGAACGGUCAGCUGAUACUGCUUUGCUAGAGUGCAGAAGGGGCAAUCGGAAUUCUUGGUGUAGCGGUGAAAUGCGUAGAUAUCAAGAGGAACACCUGAGGUGAAGACGGGGUUGCUGGGCUGACACUGACGCUGGAGGCGCGAAAGCUAGGGUAGCAAACGGG